AGUUGUAAGGGUGGUCUGACUGUGACAUUUGUCACCCUAUUGACAGCCGAGGUUAAUUCAGCUGAUUUGGCAGGCUAGGCAGGUGUCCCCUUCCUCCCUCAAUGCUCCAUGUGCCUCCCUCCUGAAGCUGCACACUCUGUCAAAGAGGACAGCCUUCCCUGAAUAGAGACAGACCGGUCUUCAGUUGAGGGUAUACGAAUAGCAGUGCUUGCCUAGUAGAACCUCCAAACAAGCUCUCAAGGUUCAUUUGUAGGAGAACAUAGGGUAGUCAAGCUUCCAAGACUCCAGACACAUUCAAAUGAGGCACUGCAUGUGGCAGUCUACCUUUCUUU
ensembl:misc_RNA 7SK 7SK RNA